rnacentral:rRNA from 1 species
UUGAACGCUGGCGGCGGGCCUAACACAUGCAAGUCGAGCGGUAGCACAGAGAGCUUGCUCUCGGGUGACGAGCGGCGGACGGGUGAGUAAUGUCUGGGAAACUGCCUGAUGGAGGGGGAUAACUACUGGAAACGGUAGCUAAUACCGCAUAACGUCGCAAGACCAAAGUGGGGGACCUUCGGGCCUCAUGCCAUCAGAUGUGCCCAGAUGGGAUUAGCUAGUAGGUGGGGUAAUGGCUCACCUAGGCGACGAUCCCUAGCUGGUCUGAGAGGAUGACCAGCCACACUGGAACUGAGACACGGUCCAGACUCCUACGGGAGGCAGCAGUGGGGAAUAUUGCACAAUGGGCGCAAGCCUGAUGCAGCCAUGCCGCGUGUGUGAAGAAGGCCUUCGGGUUGUAAAGCACUUUCAGCGGGGAGGAAGGCGAUAAGGUUAAUAACCUUGUCGAUUGACGUUACCCGCAGAAGAAGCACCGGCUAACUCCGUGCCAGCAGCCGCGGUAAUACGGAGGGUGCAAGCGUUAAUCGGAAUUACUGGGCGUAAAGCGCACGCAGGCGGUCUGUCAAGUCGGAUGUGAAAUCCCCGGGCUCAACCUGGGAACUGCAUUCGAAACUGGCAGGCUAGAGUCUUGUAGAGGGGGGUAGAAUUCCAGGUGUAGCGGUGAAAUGCGUAGAGAUCUGGAGGAAUACCGGUGGCGAAGGCGGCCCCCUGGACAAAGACUGACGCUCAGGUGCGAAAGCGUGGGGAGCAAACAGGAUUAGAUACCCUGGUAGUCCACGCCGUAAACGAUGUCGAUUUGGAGGUUGUGCCCUUGAGGCGUGGCUUCCGGAGCUAACGCGUUAAAUCGACCGCCUGGGGAGUACGGCCGCAAGGUUAAAACUCAAAUGAAUUGACGGGGGCCCGCACAAGCGGUGGAGCAUGUGGUUUAAUUCGAUGCAACGCGAAGAACCUUACCUGGUCUUGACAUCCACAGAACUUUCCAGAGAUGGAUUGGUGCCUUCGGGAACUGUGAGACAGGUGCUGCAUGGCUGUCGUCAGCUCGUGUUGUGAAAUGUUGGGUUAAGUCCCGCAACGAGCGCAACCCUUAUCCUUUGUUGCCAGCGGUUAGGCCGGGAACUCAAAGGAGACUGCCAGUGAUAAACUGGAGGAAGGUGGGGAUGACGUCAAGUCAUCAUGGCCCUUACGACCAGGGCUACACACGUGCUACAAUGGCAUAUACAAAGAGAAGCGACCUCGCGAGAGCAAGCGGACCUCAUAAAGUAUGUCGUAGUCCGGAUUGGAGUCUGCAACUCGACUCCAUGAAGUCGGAAUCGCUAGUAAUCGUAGAUCAGAAUGCUACGGUGAAUACGUUCCCGGGCCUUGUACACACCGCCCGUCACACCAUGGGAGUGGGUUGCAAAAGAAGUAGGUAGCUUAACCUUCGGGAGGGCGCUUACCACUUUGUGAUUCAUGACUGGGGUG